rnacentral:rRNA from 1 species
UACGGAGGGUGCAAGCGUUGUCCGGAAUCACUGGGCGUAAAGGGCGCGUAGGCGGCUCAUGAAGGCUGUGGUGAAAGUCCGGGGCUCAACCUCGGAUCGGCCGUGGCGACUCGUGGGCUGGAGCACUGUAGAGGCGGGUGGAAUUCCGGGUGUAGCGGUGGAAUGCGUAGAGAUCCGGAAGAACACCAGUGGCGAAGGCGGCCGCUGGCAGCUGGCUGACGCUGAGGCGCGACAGCGUGGGAGCAACAGG